rnacentral:rRNA from 1 species
CGUAGGGGGCAAGCGUUGUCCGGAUUUACUGGGCGUAAAGCGCGUGUAGGCGGAAGCGAAAGUCCGGUGUGAAAGCCCCCCGCUCAACGGGGGAAGGUCGCUGGAAACUGCGCUUCUUGAGGGCGGCAGAGGGAAGUGGAAUUGCUGGUGUAGCGGUGAAAUGCGUAGAGAUCAGCAGGAACACCCGUGGCGAAGGCGGCUUCCUGGGCCGCGCCUGACGCUGAGACGCGAAAACGUGGGGAGCGAACGGGAUUAGAUACCCCGGUAGUCCACGCCGUAAACGAUGGUCACUAGGUGUAUGCGGUAUCGACCCCGCAUGGGCCGCAGCUAACGCAAUAAGUGACCCGCCUGGGGAGUACGGCCGCAAGGUUG